rnacentral:misc_RNA from 1 species
AAAAUAAUCCUACCCUUUGUGAAUUUUGUUUGUUUGAAUAAUUUUUUUUUUUAAAAAUUAUUGGAGUCUUUCCCUUUAGAGUUUGCUUUUGAGUUUGUAAAAGAAUUCGAAAACAUCUAAAGGGGAUGGUCAAUAAUUUCUUUUGAAAAAGACAUUUUUUAAAAUUAAACUUUUGUAUUCAUUUGUCUAAAAAUUAUUUUUAUAAUAUAAAAACAACUUUUGACAAUGGAUCUCUUGGUUCUCGCAACGAUGAAGAACGCAGCAAAAUGCGAUAAGUAGUGUGAAUUGCAGAAUACGUGAAUCAUCGAAUCUUUGAACGCAUAUUGCACUUUUUAGUUUACUAAAAAAGUAUGUCUGUAUGAGUAUCAGUAAAAUAUUCUCAUAAAAAUCAUGUGUAUUUUAUGGUUAUGAGUGUUUUACAACGAUACAAGUUGUUUCACUUUAAAUUUUUUUUUAAUAUUGAAUUUUUCUAAUUUUAAUAAUUAAAAUUGGAUAAAAUUUUCCCGUCAAAAGGAAUAACCUAAACAAUUUUAAACGAUUAAUUUUAGCAAAAUUUUCGUAAAAAAGGAAAAUUUUUAUUAAAAUAACUUGAUCUCAAAUCAGAUAAGAGUACCCGCUGAACUUAAGCAUAUCAAUAAGCGGAGGAAAAGAAACUAACAAGGAUUCCUUAGUAACGGCGAGUGAAGCGGGAAGAGCUCAAAUUUGAAAUCUUCAAGGUUUUACCUUGACGAAUUGUAGUUUAAAGAAGUGUUUUCUGCUGAAGUUUUGGUAAAAGUUCUUUGGAAUAGGACAUCAUAGAGGGUGAGAAUCCCGUAUUUGACCAUUAUUUUCAGCUUUGUGAUACACUUUCAAAGAGUCGGAUUGUUUGGAAUGCAGUCCAAAUGGGUGGUAAAUUUCAUCUAAAGCUAAAUAUUGGCGAGAGACCGAUAGCGAACAAGACCGUGAGGGAAAGAUGAAAAGAACUUUGAAAAGAGAGUUAAACAGUACGUGAAAUUGUCAAAAGGGAAGCGUUUGACACCAGUGUUGUUUUCUCGAAAAUCAAUUAAAAAUGGCUCGAUUUUGUAUUGCUGAGACCUUAAAAGCUCACUGUACAUUUUUCGUGUCUUUUUUAAUGCACUUUUCGUUUAACAAGUCAACAUCAGUUUCUUUGUUGUAAAAGGGUCAUUGGAAGGUGGCUUUCUUUUCGGAGAAAGUGUUUAUAGCCUUUGGCCUCUGCAAUCGAGAGGCUGAGGUCUGCAGCGUAGACUCUUCGGGUUAGAUACAUUUGUGCUAAGUUAUAGCUUUUAUAGACACUUGUUGACUAUAAUUAGUCUUGUAGCUUACUCGCUUAUGCUAUUUUACCUACGCUUAGGAUG